GUCCACGCCGUAAACUAUGGAUGCUAGCUGUUAUCAGUAUCGACCCUGGUAGUAGCGAAGCUAACGCGUUAAGCAUCCCGCCUGUGGAGUACGGUAGCAAGACUAAAACAUAAAGGAAUUGACGGGGACCCCGCACAAGCGGUGGAGCGUGUUGUUUAAUCCGACGGUAAGCGUAGAACCUUACCAGGGUUUGACAUCUCGGGAAGGUUUGUGAAAGCAGACUGUGCCUUUUGGAACCCGAUGACAGAUGAUGCAUGGCCGUCGU
rnacentral:rRNA from 1 species